AUGUGGAAGUUGCAUGCAAAUAUCCCUUCUCUCUCCCUCUCGCUAGCUGCACACAACUUCCACACGAAGGACGUCUGUAUUUACAAAGACUGCGGUAGGCCCUGGAUUUCCAUCCUCCCAGAGGAUGGGCUGCUUAAAAAGCCACCAACAAACAGCUGCAGCAUCACACAGAGCCCCUGACCCUGCUGGCACUUUGCAGUAGAUGUGUGAGUCCUACCUAAAUCACAUGAACACCUGAAGUUCUAACCACAGGCAAAAAGAGCAGGAAGGAUCUGCUCAAAAGAAACAUUUUUGAAGAGACCAGCACAACAAAUCUUAGAAAACCCAGAUAAACACUUUGCCCUGUAGGAGUUUCCAAGUACCUUCUCUAGCAUAUCAAUAUUCAAUACUCUCACACAAGUCUUCAGGUAGAAGCAGCAAGGUAACAUUCAGAAGCAUCUGAGGGAGUUUGGAAAGCCCCCUUUCCCAGGUGAGGCAGACUUUUAGGUUCACAGGUCCCACUUAUUCCCAACUCUUUAAGUAAUGAAACCCUCUGAAAAAUAGAUCUGGCAUGCACAAGGACAUCCAGCCCUGUCAGAUGUGACUGAGGUAACUACUAAACCAAAGCUACAGCAGCACACACCAAGCCCACAGGUAAGGCGCCCCAUCCUACAGGCAAUUAGGCCAGACAGCAGCUAACUGUAGUACAAUUACACACGCCUCUGUCCUGCCACAGAGCUCCCACACACCAUACAGACGAGCUUUGCUGUUACCCAGCGUGCAUUUAACAUCUGCAGUCUGAAAGAAAAUUCUGAGACAUCUCUUAAAUGAGGAGAACACAGAAGCAACUUGGAUGGCUUUUCCAGAAUUAAUUCACUGGAAAAUGCCUAAUGUUUCAUUAAAAGCAAAGACACCGGAGUUGUAAAGUUCCAUUUUUAUCUCCAGCAGUGAAGUCCUUGACAAGUUCUAACUAACGCACCUUCCCAGAGAACUGCACAGCAUUUGGUCUCUCAAAAAAUCAUUAUAAUGCAAGUGUUACGUAAAAGACUUACUCUUCUUGCAUUUGGUGAUAAUGCUUUAAUUUCUCUCAACAGGGCAGCCUUCUAAUACAAUAAAUUUAUGGCAAAAUAGAAAAGGAAGAUUAAG
rnacentral:lncRNA from 1 species